rnacentral:siRNA from 1 species
CUUUUGUUGUGUCUCUCUACGGCC